rnacentral:rRNA from 1 species
AUGAAGCUCCUAUGUUGGAACAUUAAGGGCUUCGGCCUCUCUGGCCGACGGCGCCAGCUCAUCAAAUAUUUGCAACAAGAGGAGAUAGACAUUGUGGGUCUUCAGGAGAUGAUUCACUAGGACUUUAGUAUGCAUGAGCUCCAGGGACUCUCUCGCCACCAGUUUGCCUGGUAG